CCACCUACAUUUAUUAAUUUAUAUGCCCACAACUGCCAUGGCAAGGUAGCCCUUAUGAUUGCUCGAUAUAAUUAUAUCCUUAAGAUACUUGUACUCAACCAUCCCAACCUAACUUACUAAGGCAAUUGACAUAUUGCAUUUGAUAAUCAUGCCACCCAAACUUGAAGAAAACUUGUUUAAUCCACUUCAACCCUUUCUAUUCACACCAUUACGAGUCAUCAUCACUUUCAACUAACUCUUGAGCCUUCACUCAUUUUUUGUAAUAUACAAGAUUCCUUAUCCUUGAUCCAUAGAUUGUUACCACAAGGUUGGCUUUACACUUCUUUUUCUUGAAAAUGAUGGAUCUCAAUGAAGCUAGAAAUCAUCCAAUUUGGUGAUCCUAUGGUACAAAUCGGUGAAAAAUAUUAUAUCCUCUGUUUCCAAAUUUUUUUAAUGCCAAAAUCCCAAUCUAAUUACCAAGCUAAGACCCUCAUGAAAAAGAAAUGAUUGAGACUCAUACCGAGCUAAAAAAUUACUGCCACUAUUAAAACAACUUUAUGUUGAUCUGGAUCCAAUCCAGAUCUAAACUGAACCCAUAUUUCAUGCAUUGGGGUUGGGUUAUACAUGGACUAGUUCCAACCUAAAUGAUCCAUUAGAUCAAGAAGUUUGAUCAUGGACCAGACUCG
rnacentral:lncRNA from 1 species